CUGUGUCCUUCAACUUUAGAAAAUGAGUGAGAUGUUCAGUCAGAUUCUUUAUUUCUCUCAUUUUGUUCCAAAUAGCACCUCGUCUUCGUAUCAGCAGUUUGCCUUUUAGUAAUCUGAUUAAUUAACCUGCAGAUAACCGAGUGCCUACGGCCGAGGUAAAGCAAACUCUGAAUACUAUCUAUUCAAAUUCACGUACACAUUUUCUUUAAUAAUGUGGCAGGAAGCGUAACGUGAGAUAACAAAGGGACAGGACACGAUGUUUUUAGAGGUGAACGACGAAGGCUCUGCGAGAUGAUAACACUGACGAUAACUAAAAGCAAACUAUGUUUUACAAAAAGUGGAAAGGCAAUUUAAAGGAAAUUUAUUUUGUGCGCUCGAGUGUUUAAUGGAAAUUUAUUGUGUUCAGGAUGCAUGUAAAAUUUGAGGUUAUUGAUUCAAAGAUGCUGAACAGUAUUUCCUUUGACAGCGUAAAAUGGAAAAUUUUUUCAUUGUACGUACGUGCCUCUUACUUUUAA